rnacentral:tRNA from 1 species
GUGGCUGUAGUUUAGUGGUGAGAAUUCCACGUUGUGGCCGUGGAGACCAGGGCUCGAAUCCCAGCAGCCACA